rnacentral:rRNA from 1 species
UAUGUGAUCGUCUCUCGCAUAUCAAUAAGCGGAGGAAAAGAAACUAACAAGGAUUCCCCUAGUAACGGCGAGUGAAGCGGGAAGAGCUCAAAUUUGAAAUCUUAAAGGGUUUCCCUUUACGAAUUGUAGUUUAAAGAAGUGUUUUCUGUUGAGGUUUUGGUAAAAGUUCUUUGGAAUAGGACAUCAUAGAGGGUGAGAAUCCCGUAUUUGACCUUUACUUUCAACUUUGUGAUACACUUUCAAAGAGUCGGAUUGUUUGGGAAUGCAGUCCAAAAUGGGUGGUAAAUUUCAUCUAAAGCUAAAUAUUGGCGAGAGACCGAUAGCGAACAAGUACCGUGAGGGAAAGAUGAAAAGAACUUUGAAAAGAGAGUUAAACAGUACGUGAAAUUGUCAAAAGGGAAGCGUUUGACACCAGUGUUGUUUUUCUGAAAAUCAAUUAAAGAACUGUUUAUGCUAAGUUGUUUAGACUUUAUCAGCUAAUCUGCUUAGUUUUGAGCUUUUCUUUAAUGCACUUUUCAGUUAACAAGUCAACAUCAAUUUCUUUUGCUGUAAAAAAGCUUGAGGAAGGUGGCUUGAGAUUCGUCUUAAGUGUUUAUAGUCCUCUUGCCUAUGCAGUCGGAGAGAUUGAGGUCUGCAGCGUAGAUCCUUCGGGGCUAAAUGCAUUUGUGCUAAGUUAUAGCAUUUUAUAGACAACUUGUUGACUAUGAUUUGUCUUGUAGCUUACUCGCUUAUGUUAUUUUACCUACGCUUAGGAUGUUGAAGUCAUCGUAUCGCGC